AUGGCCGGGAUGUGCCGGGUACGGGGUCCUGGGGGGCUUGGGGCAGAACCGGUGAAGAUUUGGGGCCAGCAGGGCCAGGAGUGCGAGGAGGGGAUGGUGAGAUCCUGGGGGGGGACCUCCAGCCCCCGGAGGGUCCCCCUGACUCUGCUCUGCCGCGCUUCCGGGUUCACAUUUGGGAGUUACGGAAUGCACUGGAUCCGCCAGAGGCCUGGGAAGGCGUUGGAAUACGUUGGGAGUAUCAACAGCAAUGGUGGCAGCACCGACUACACGUCAUCGGUCAAGGGCCGGUUCUCGAUCUCCAGGGACAACGGGCAGAGCUCGGUGACGCUGACCAUGAACAGCCUCAAGGACGAGGAUUCCGCCGUUUAUUUCUGCGCCAAAUCUGCCGACAGUUGCUGUGCUGGUGUUGCCGCUGUUGAUGAUGACCAACAUUUGGUCCAGCACUGA